GCGAGCUACCAUGCAGUCGAGCGGAACGAUUGGAGCUUGCUGGAAGACGUCGAGCGGCGGACGGGUGAGUAACACUUAGGAAUCUACCUAGUAGUGGGGGAUAGCUCGGGGAAACUCGAAUUAAUACCGCAUACGUCCUACGGGAGAAAGGGGGCAACUUGUUGCUCUCGCUAUUAGAUGAGCCUAAGUCGGAUUAGCUAGUUGGUGGGGUAAAGGCCUACCAAGGCGACGAUCUGUAGCUGGUCUGAGAGGAUGAUCAGCCACACCGGGACUGAGACACGGCCCGGACUCCUACGGGAGGCAGCAGUGGGGAAUAUUGGACAAUGGGGGCAACCCUGAUCCAGCCAUGCCGCGUGUGUGAAGAAGGCCUUUUGGUUGUAAAGCACUUUAAGCAGUGAAGAAGACCUAACGGUUAAUACCCGUUAGCGAUGACAUUAGCUGCAGAAUAAGCACCGGCUAACUCUGUGCCAGCAGCCGCGGUAAUACAGAGGGUGCAAGCGUUAAUCGGAAUUACUGGGCGUAAAGCGAGCGUAGGUGGCUUGAUAAGUCAGAUGUGAAAUCCCCGGGCUUAACCUGGGAACUGCAUCUGAUACUGUUAGGCUAGAAUAGGUGAGAGGAAGGUAGAAUUCCAGGUGUAGCGGUGAAAUGCGUAGAGAUCUGGAGGAAUACCGAUGGCGAAGGCAGCCUUCUGGCAUCAUAUUGACACUGAGGUUCGAAAGCGUGGGUAGCAAACAGGAUUAGAUACCCUGGUAGUCCACGCCGUAAACGAUGUCUACUAGUCGUUGGGUCCCUUGAGGACUUAGUGACGCAGCUAACGCAAUAAGUAGACCGCCUGGGGAGUACGGCCGCAAGGUUAAAACUCAAAUGAAUUGACGGGGGCCCGCACAAGCGGUGGAGCAUGUGGUUUAAUUCGAUGCAACGCGAAGAACCUUACCUGGUCUUGACAUAUCUAGAAUCCUGCAGAGAUGCGGGAGUGCCUUCGGGAAUUAGAAUACAGGUGCUGCAUGGCUGUCGUCAGCUCGUGUCGUGAGAUGUUU
rnacentral:rRNA from 1 species